rnacentral:rRNA from 1 species
UACGAAGGGGGCUAGCGUUGUUCGGAUUUACUGGGCGUAAAGCGCACGUAGGCGGAUCGUUAAGUCGGGGGUGAAAUCCUGGAGCUCAACUCCAGAACUGCCUUCGAUACUGGCGAUCUUGAGUCCGGAAGAGGUGAGUGGAAUUCCCGGUGUAGCGGUGAAAUGCGUAGAGAUCGGGAGGAACACCAGAGGCGAAAGCGGCGGCCUGGACAGGAACUGACACUCAACUACGAAAGCGUGGGGAGCAAACAGG